CUCGGCCUCCUCCUCUCAGAAACAAGCCAGAAAACCCUAGCCGGCUCACAAGGGCUUCCCCCGUUCGUCGCUUCCGACCCGCGACAUGGCGGAUUCUCCACGCAGGAGGUACUCACGGUCCCCAUCUCCAUACAAGGGUGGCUCUAAAACAAGGUCUCGGUCCAUGGGUUUGUCCCACUCCAGAUCUCAGUCUCCUCGGCCUAGAAACCACACAAGGUCACGGUCCAGAAGUCAUGACAGGAAUGAAACGGCGAAUCAUGGAAAUACUCUUUAUGUAACAGGACUUUCAUCCAGGGUUACAGAAAGGGACUUGGAGGAUCACUUCUCCAGGGAAGGAAAGGUUGUUGGAUGUCACCUAGUUGUUGAACCUCGCACACGUGCCUCUCGUGGUUUUGCAUUUGUGACCAUGGACACCACGGAAGAUGCAGACCGUUGUAUCAAGUAUCUCAAUCAGUCAAUCCUGGAAGGAAGAUGUAUAACGGUGGAGAAGUCAAGGAGGGGACGCCCACGAACACCUACGCCGGGAAAGUACCUUGGUGUGGUCAGCACACGAGACAGUUAUCGAAGCGAUCGUGGAAGAUACUAUGGAGGCUACAGCCGCGAUGACUAUGGUGGUGGUGGUGGUGGUGGUGGCUAUCGCAGAUCUCCAAAACACUCUCCUUACUGGGGCGGCGGCUCCCCACGGAGGUCACCAUAUGGUGGUAGGUCCAGAAGAGAACAAUCCAGGUCACCUUAUUAUGCAUACAGAAGCCCAGAGAGAGCUGCAGGCUAUGGGCGUCGCCCAAAUGGCUAUGGUAGGUAGAUUUUUGGUCAUUUUAUCCCCCUCCAUCAAACCAGAUCGUCAAUUGAUAGCUUUGCAGUUACAGUGUGUGUCUCUAGUAAGCAUCCAGAGUAGAUGUUGAACAAGUUGGUCCUUUUUUGAAUUAUGGUGGUGUUCUGGUUAUAUGUAGAGUUUGUGCGUGUGUUUCUUCUUGAGACAUGCACUUGAUGUGAUGCAAGUGAUGCGGGAUCAA